rnacentral:misc_RNA from 1 species
GAUGAAGAACGUAGUGAAAUGCGAUAAGUAAUGUGAAUUGCAGAAUUCAGUGAAUCAUCGAAUCUUUGAACGCACAUUGCGCCCCCUGGCAUUCCGGGGGGCAUGCCUGUCCGAGCGUCAUUUCUGCCCUCCAGCCCGGCUGGGUGUUGGGCGCUGUCCCCCCGGGGACACGCCCCAAAGGCAGUGGCGGCGCCGCGUCGGGUCCUCAAGCGUAUGGGGCUUUGUCACCCGCUCGGGACGGACUCGUCGGCGCUGGUCUUCCUCCAGGCGACCCUUCGGGGCUCGUCUUCCUUCGGUUGACCUCGGAUCAGGUAGGGUUACCCGCUGAACUUAAGCAUAUCAAUAAGCGGAGGA